AGAGGGCACUGUUGCUCCAAAAACACCAGACUCCGCAGCCAUGUUGGGAUCAACAGGUCUCAAUUCCCUGGGCCUUGCUGUUAACUCUCAUCCUGCUUCCAGGACGGAAUCAUUUUUUCAUCGGGAUCUUGGUUGAAAAAGCCAAAAGUGACAAACUCCACACCCAGAGGACCUAGGCUGACCGGGGAUCGAACACUGGACCAUUUUGCUGUGAGGCAACAGUGCUAUCCACCCAGUCCACACAUGCAUCUGAAUAUGCACCUAGCCACCCGCCCUGCGCUGUCGGCCCUGGCGUGCAUGCCCCUUGCAGCCAGUGUUUUAUUAUUCUUGACAGAGUUCAACGAACACAUCUGGUCAGAGGAUAAGAGGGGAUGGAGGGACGGUGCCAAG